rnacentral:rRNA from 1 species
UACGUAGGGGGCGAGCGUUGUCCGGAUUUAUUGGGCGUAAAGCGCUCGCAGGUGGUUCGUUGCGUCGUGCGUGAAAGACCCCGGCUCAACUGGGGGAGGUCGUGCGAUACGGGCGAACUGGAGGCCAGUAGGGGGAUGCGGAAUUCCGGGUGUAGUGGUGGAAUGCGUAGAGAUCCGGAGGAACACCAGCGGCGAAGGCGGCAUCCUGGACUGGUCCUGACACUCAGGAGCGAAAGCGUGGGGAGCGAUCCGG